GGGGCAGUAGCUCAGUGGUAGAGCUCCCGACUCGUAUGUUGGAACACCUGGGUUCGGUUCCCGGCUGCUUAC
rnacentral:tRNA from 1 species